rnacentral:rRNA from 1 species
UACGGAGGGGGCUAGCGUUGUUCGGAUUCACUGGGUUUAAAGGGUGCGUAGGAGGGCAGGUAAGUCAGUGGUGAAAUCUCCAAGCUUAACUUGGAAACUGCCGUUGAUACUAUCUGUCUUGAAUAUUGUGGAGGUGAGCGGAAUAUGUCAUGUAGCGGUGAAAUGCUUAGAUAUGACAUAGAACACCAAUUGCGAAGGCAGCUCGCUACACAUAUAUUGACUCUGAGGCACGAAAGCGUGGGGAUCAAACAGG